rnacentral:rRNA from 1 species
GAGGUUAAGCGACUAAGCGUACACGGUGGAUGCCCUGGCAGUCAGAGGCGAUGAAGGGCGUGCUAAUCUGCGAUAAGCGCCGGUAAGGUGAUAUGAACCGUUAUAACCGGCGAUACCCGAAUGGGGAAACCCAGUGUGAUUCGUCACACUAUCAUUAACUGAAUCCAUAGGUUAAUGAGGCGAACCGGGGGAACUGAAACAUCUAAGUACCCCGAGGAAAAGAAAUCAACCGAGAUUCCCCCAGUAGCGGCGAGCGAACGGGGAGGAGCCCAGAGCCUGAAUCAGCAUGUGUGUUAGUGGAAGCGUCUGGAAAGGCGCGCGAUACAGGGUGACAGCCCCGUACACAAAAGCGCAUGUGCUGUGAGCUCGAUGAGUAGGGCGGGACACGUGGUAUCCUGUCUGAAUAUGGGGGACCAUCCUCCAAGGCUAAAUACUCCUGACUGACCGAUAGUGAACCAGUACCGUGAGGGAAAGGCGAAAAGAACCCCGGCGAGGGGAGUGAAAAAGAACCUGAAACCGUGUACGUACAAGCAGUGGGAGCACCCUUUGGGGUGUGACUGCGUACCUUUUGUAUAAUGGGUCAGCGACUUAUAUUCUGUAGCAAGGUUAACCGUAUAGGGGAGCCGGAGGGAAACCGAGUCUUAAUUGGGCGUUAAGUUGCAGGGUAUAGACCCGAAACCCGGUGAUCUAGCCAUGGGCAGGUUGAAGGUUGGGUAACACUAACUGGAGGACCGAACCGACUAAUGUUGAAAAAUUAGCGGAUGACCUGUGGCUGGGGGUGAAAGGCCAAUCAAACCGGGAGAUAGCUGGUUCUCCCCGAAAGCUAUUUAGGUAGCGCCUCGUGAAUUCAUCUCCGGGGGUAGAGCACUGUUUCGGCUAGGGGGCCAUCCCGGCUUACCAACCCGAUGCAAACUGCGAAUACCGGAGAAUGUUAUCACGGGAGACACACGGCGGGUGCUAACGUCCGUCGUGAAGAGGGAAACAACCCAGACCGCCAGCUAAGGUCCCAAAGUCAUGGUUAAGUGGGAAACGAUGUGGGAAGGCCCAGACAGCCAGGAUGUUGGCUUAGAAGCAGCCAUCAUUUAAAGAAAGCGUAAUAGCUCACUGGUCGAGUCGGCCUGCGCGGAAGAUGUAACGGGGCUAAACCAUGCACCGAAGCUGCGGCAGCGACACUGUGUGUUGUUGGGUAGGGGAGCGUUCUGUAAGCCUGUGAAGGUGUGUCGUGAGGCAUGCUGGAGGUAUCAGAAGUGCGAAUGCUGACAUAAGUAACGAUAAAGCGGGUGAAAAGCCCGCUCGCCGGAAGACCAAGGGUUCCUGUCCAACGUUAAUCGGGGCAGGGUGAGUCGACCCCUAAGGCGAGGCCGAAAGGCGUAGUCGAUGGGAAACGGGUUAAUAUUCCCGUACUUGGUGUUACUGCGAAGGGGGGACGGAGAAGGCUAUGUUGGCCGGGCGACGGUUGUCCCGGUUUAAGCGUGUAGGCUGGUUUUCCAGGCAAAUCCGGAAAAUCAAGGCUGAGGCGUGACGACGAGGCACUACGGUGCUGAAGCAACAAAUGCCCUGCUUCCAGGAAAAGCCUCUAAGCAUCAGGUAACACGAAAUCGUACCCCAAACCGACACAGGUGGUCAGGUAGAGAAUACCAAGGCGCUUGAGAGAACUCGGGUGAAGGAACUAGGCAAAAUGGUGCCGUAACUUCGGGAGAAGGCACGCUGACAUGUAGGUGAAGUGAUUUACUCAUGGAGCUGAAGUCAGUCGAAGAUACCAGCUGGCUGCAACUGUUUAUUAAAAACACAGCACUGUGCAAACACGAAAGUGGACGUAUACGGUGUGACGCCUGCCCGGUGCCGGAAGGUUAAUUGAUGGGGUCAGCGCAAGCGAAGCUCCUGAUCGAAGCCCCGGUAAACGGCGGCCGUAACUAUAACGGUCCUAAGGUAGCGAAAUUCCUUGUCGGGUAAGUUCCGACCUGCACGAAUGGCGUAAUGAUGGCCAGGCUGUCUCCACCCGAGACUCAGUGAAAUUGAACUCGCUGUGAAGAUGCAGUGUACCCGCGGCAAGACGGAAAGACCCCGUGAACCUUUACUAUAGCUUGACACUGAACAUUGAGCCUUGAUGUGUAGGAUAGGUGGGAGGCUUUGAAGUGUGGACGCCAGUCUGCAUGGAGCCGACCUUGAAAUACCACCCUUUAAUGUUUGAUGUUCUAACGUGGACCCGUAAUCCGGGUUGCGGACAGUGUCUGGUGGGUAGUUUGACUGGGGCGGUCUCCUCCUAAAGAGUAACGGAGGAGCACGAAGGUUGGCUAAUCCUGGUCGGACAUCAGGAGGUUAGUGCAAUGGCAUAAGCCAGCUUGACUGCGAGCGUGACGGCGCGAGCAGGUGCGAAAGCAGGUCAUAGUGAUCCGGUGGUUCUGAAUGGAAGGGCCAUCGCUCAACGGAUAAAAGGUACUCCGGGGAUAACAGGCUGAUACCGCCCAAGAGUUCAUAUCGACGGCGGUGUUUGGCACCUCGAUGUCGGCUCAUCACAUCCUGGGGCUGAAGUAGGUCCCAAGGGUAUGGCUGUUCGCCAUUUAAAGUGGUACGCGAGCUGGGUUUAGAACGUCGUGAGACAGUUCGGUCCCUAUCUGCCGUGGGCGCUGGAGAACUGAGGGGGGCUGCUCCUAGUACGAGAGGACCGGAGUGGACGCAUCACUGGUGUUCGGGUUGUCAUGCCAAUGGCACUGCCCGGUAGCUAAAUGCGGAAGAGAUAAGUGCUGAAAGCAUCUAAGCACGAAACUUGCCCCGAGAUGAGUUCUCCCUGAGACUUAAAGUCUCCUGAAGGAACGUUGAAGACGACGACGUUGAUAGGCCGGGUGUGUAAGCGCAGCGAUGCGUUGAGCUAACCGGUACUAAUGAACCGUGAGGCUUAACCUUAC